rnacentral:rRNA from 1 species
GACGAACGCUGGCGGCGUGCUUAACACAUGCAAGUCGAACGGAAAGGCCCCUUUGGGGGUACUCGAGUGGCGAACGGGUGAGUAACACGUGAGUAACCUGCCCUUGACUUCGGGAUAACUUCAGGAAACUGGGGCUAAUACCGGAUAGGAAUCCUUGCUGCAUGGUGGGGGUUGGAAAGCUUCGGCGGUUUUGGAUGGACUCGCGGCUUAUCAGCUUGUUGGUGGGGUAGUGGCUUACCAAGGCUUUGACGGGUAGCCGGCCUGAGAGGGCGACCGGCCACAUUGGGACUGAGAGACGGCCCAGACUCCUACGGGAGGCAGCAGUGGGGAAGAUUGCACAAUGGGCGGAAGCCUGAUGCAGCAACGACGCGGGCGGGAUGACGGAAUUCGGGUUGUAAACCGCGUUCAGCAGGGGCGAAGCUUGUGGUGACGGUACCUGCAGAAGAAGCACCGGCUAACUACGUG